rnacentral:rRNA from 1 species
AGACCCGAAACCCGGUGAUCUAGCCAUGGGCAGGUUGAAGGUUGGGUAACACUAACUGGAGGACCGAACCGACUAAUGUUGAAAAAUUAGCGGAUGACCUGUGGCUGGGGGUGAAAGGCCAAUCAAACCGGGAGAUAGCUGGUUCUCCCCGAAAGCUAUUUAGGUAGCGCCUCGUGAAUUCAUCUCCGGGGGUAGAGCACUGUUUCGGCUAGGGGGCCAUCCCGGCUUACCAACCCGAUGCAAACUGCGAAUACCGGAGAAUGUUAUCACGGGAGACACACGGCGGGUGCUAACGUCCGUCGUGAAGAGGGAAACAACCCAGACCGCCAGCUAAGGUCCCAAAGUCAUGGUUAAGUGGGAAACGAUGUGGGAAGGCCCAGACAGCCAGGAUGUUGGCUUAGAAGCAGCCAUCAUUUAAAGAAAGCGUAAUAGCUCACUGGUCGAGUCGGCCUGCGCGGAAGAUGUAACGGGGCUAAACCAUGCACCGAAGCUGCGGCAGCGAACGUAUCACCCAAGACAACUUUGCGGAGUUGACGAUUGACGGAGCGAAGCGACGUCAAAGCGUUCAUUAAAGUCGAGUUGGCUUAGGGAUACGUUCGUUGGGUAGGGGAGCGUUCUGUAAGCCUGUGAAGGUGUGCUGUGAGGCAUGCUGGAGGUAUCAGAAGUGCGAAUGCUGACAUAAGUAACGAUAAAGCGGGUGAAAAGCCCGCUCGCCGGAAGACCAAGGGUUCCUGUCCAACGUUAAUCGGGGCAGGGUGAGUCGACCCCUAAGGCGAGGCCGAAAGGCGUAGUCGAUGGGAAACGGGUUAAUAUUCCCGUACUUGGUGUUACUGCGAAGGGGGGACGGAGAAGGCUAUGUUGGCCGGGCGACGGUUGUCCCGGUUUAAGCGUGUAGGUGUGUGUUCCAGGUAAAUCCGGUUCACUUUAACACUGAGGCGUGACGACGAGGCACUACGGUGCUGAAGCAACAAAUGCCCUGCUUCCAGGAAAAGCCUCUAAGCAUCAGGUAACAUCAAAUCGUACCCCAAACCGACACAGGUGGUCAGGUAGAGAAUACCAAGGCGCUUGAGAGAACUCGGGUGAAGGAACUAGGCAAAAUGGUGCCGUAACUUCGGGAGAAGG